rnacentral:lncRNA from 1 species
GGAUUGCUUGAAACAUAGUAGUUUGCUCCAUCGAGAAUUUCUCACCUGUGAUGUAUUUGGGAGUGUUUAUCAUGUUCCUAAUUCAGAUGCCUGCAGCUAUGCCUCCAGUCCCUCGAGAAGUCAUCAUGGAAUCCCUCACAGUCAGCCAGUUGAACAGCUUGUCAGAGGAAAUAAAUGUCCCGGGACCUCCGAAAUCUACUGAGAAUGAUGAAUACCUUGAACAGUACCAAUGUGAUGACCGUGGAGGCAAGGAGAAACCAAGAAGAUCAAAAGAACAUGAACUGAUUUCAAAAGAAAAUGUUUUCUGCAUCAAAGAGUCUUCUGAGACUGCUAUUACAGAUAGAUGCCAAGAUACAAAGGAUGAGACUAAAAAAACUGACAAAGAGCGUUACCAGAGAAAGAGGGAACAUUCUCCUACUGAAGAGAAGGAGAGUCAAAAAGAUGGUCAUUCCAGCAAGAGAAGGUGCUCCCGGAGUGUGGAAGUUGUUAAGCAAAAGUGUUAACAUAAGUUGGUGAUAAUACUGAAAUAUUUUUGGUUCAGAUCUAGAUUUGAUUUCUCCUAAGCACACUGAAUUCACAGCUAUUGAUCCUCCAGAGGAGUCUCUGCAUUUUUACACCCGGAGAAUAUGUAAACUUCCUGCUAUUGUUCUACUGUUUUUGUUUUGUUUUGUUUUGUUUUGUUUCUACUAGUAUAGGCUUAAGAAUAUAGAGAAAUGGUCUGCUUUUAUUUUCAUUUUCACUUUUUUUCAUUUUUCUCUAAAUAUCAGUAAAGUUCCUGCUUGACAAGGAGCAUAUACUUUCCUCUGAGAAGGCUAAUUCAUCAGAAAACAGUUCUUUGCAACUUCUGGUAUUAAAUGUUGCUUAUGGGAAGACUUAUUUUUAGUGAAUCAAGAGAUAUAUUCAUAUAAUUCCAGUCUCUGUUUUUUGGAAGUGUUUUUCUCUGGCUAGUCCGCGAAGUACUCUGAUAUAAUUUUUCUAUCUUCUUGAUCUCUCUUUAGGAAGUAAAAUAUCCUGAGUAUUUGGACCUCUGAGCCUACAUGUCUCAAUCAAGUGGAGAACCACUCCUCUACGCCUUAUAUGCGGUGCUGGUGCAUCAUGGUAUCAACUGUCGCACAGGACACUAUGUAUGCUACAUGAAGGUAGAAGUCAACAUCAUUUCUAACAGGGUAAAGGUUGUGCUGGCAAACCAAUUAAAGUGUUACUAGUAGUACUGUUUCUAGGCAAAAAGAUCUUCUGAAAUAAUCCCAAACUUGAAAAUGGGGUCUUGUAUAAAAUCUUAAGCUGUGAUUGACUCUCUGCUUAAGAGAGGCCAAACGUGUACCUACUGAGAAGCUAGGUGAUAAGUGUUUUUGUACACUUAAAAGUGGUCAUUUUGUAAAGAGACUGCUGAAAAAUACAAACAGUGCUGCUGCAGAACUCUGAAUGGGGACCUAGCAACUGUCUUAACUGAUCUGGAAUCUUGAGUUUACUUUUCAGUGGACAGGAGGAGAGUCUCUCAAGGCA